rnacentral:rRNA from 1 species
AUACGUAGGGUGCGAGCGUUGUCCGGAAUUACUGGGCGUAAAGAGCUCGUAGGUGGUUUGUCGCGUCGUCUGUGAAAUUCCGGGGCUUAACUCCGGGCGUGCAGGCGAUACGGGCAUAACUUGAGUACUGUAGGGGAGACUGGAAUUCCUGGUGUAGCGGUGAAAUGCGCAGAUAUCAGGAGGAACACCGGUGGCGAAGGCGGGUCUCUGGGCAGUAACUGACGCUGAGGAGCGAAAGCAUGGUUAGCGAACAGGAUUAGAUACCCUGGUAGUCCAUGCCGUAAACGGUGGGCGCUAGGUGUAGGGGUCUUCCACGACUUCUGUGCCGUAGCUAACGCAUUAAGCGCCCCGCCUGGGGAGUACGGCCGCAAGGCUAAAACUCAAAUGAAUUGACGGGG